rnacentral:SRP_RNA from 2 species
GUUUAUACUUAUGGUGGCGUAAUCUGCCGAACCGUGUCAGGAUGGAAACAUAGCAGCACUAAGGCAAUCUUUGCGGGUAUCAUAUUUGUAAA